rnacentral:rRNA from 1 species
UACGGAGGGAGCUAGCGUUGUCCGGAAUUAUUGGGCGUAAAGAGCUCGUAGGCGGUGUGUCACGUCGGCCGUGAAAACCUGCAGCUUAACUGUGGGCGUGCGGUCGAUACGGGCAUCACUGGAGUUCGGCAGGGGAGACUGGAAUUCCUGGUGUAGCGGUGAAAUGCGCAGAUAUCAGGAGGAACACCGGUGGCGAAGGCGGGUCUCUGGGCCGAUACUGACGCUGAGGAGCGAAAGCGUGGGGAGCGAACAGG